rnacentral:rRNA from 1 species
ACAAGCGGUGGAUUAUGUGGUUUAAUUCGACGCAACGCGAAGAACCUUACCAAGGCUUGACAUCCACAGAAUCUUGAGGAAACUUGAGAGUGCCCUUCGGGGAGCUGUGAGACAGGUGGUGCAUGGUUGUCGUCAGCUCGUGUCGUGAGAUGUUGGGUUAAGUCCCGCAACGAGCGCAACCCCUAUGUUUAGUUGCUAACGAGUAAGGUCGAGCACUCUAGACAGACUGCCGGUGACAAACCGGAGGAAGUGGGGAUGACGUCAAAUCAUCAUGCCCCUUAUGUCUUGGGCUACACACGUAAUACAAUGGCCGGUACAGACGGAAGCGAAGCCGUGAGGUGAAGCGAAUCCGAGAAAGCCGGUCUCAGUUCGGAUUGUUCUCUGCAACUCGAGAACAUGAAGUCGGAAUCGCUAGUAAUCGCAGGUCAGCAUACUGCGGUGAAUACGUUCCCGGGCCUU